CUUUACUGUAGCCUGGAAUUGUGUUCGGGCUUGGCUUGCGCAGGAUAGGUGGGAGGCGAUGAAGUAUUCCUUGUGGGGAGUAUGGAGCCAACGGUGAGAUACCACUCUGGCGAAGCUAGAAUUCUAACCCAUGACCAUUAUCUGGUCAGGGAACAGUUUCAGGUGGGCAGUUUGACUGGGGCGGUCGCCUCCUAAAAGGUAACGGAGGUGCGCAAAGGUUCCCUCAGCACGCUUGGAAACCGUGCGACGAGUGUAAAGGCAUAAAGGGAGCUUGACUGCAAGACUGACAAGUCGAGCAGGUACGAAAGUAGGCCUUAGUGAUCCGACAGCGCUGAAUGGAAGGGCCGUCGCUCAACGGAUAAAAGUUA
rnacentral:rRNA from 1 species